rnacentral:lncRNA from 1 species
GUGUCAAUUCACCUCUAUUUAUUUUUCUUUGUAGAGGAAAUAAUUAACGUUUCUCUAUUUAUUUAUAUAUCUAAGAUUUGAAACACAUAUCUAGCUCAUUCUCAAAUUUUAUCAAAUCUUCUCAUUUAUGUUUUCAUAAAUGAUGUGGGAUUGCUCUUGAAAUCGUGCCUAAUAUCUCGUUACCUGCUUUAAUGGUAGAAGUGGUGAUG